AGUGAACGCUGGCGGUAGGCCUAACACAUGCAAGUCGAACGGCAGCACAGUAAGAGCUUGCUCUUACGGGUGGCGAGUGGCGGACGUGUGAGGAAUACAUCGUAAUCUACUUUUUCGUGGGGGAUCACGUAGGGAAACCUACGCUAGUACCGCAUACGACCUACGGGUGAAAGCAGGGGAUCUUCGGACCUUGCGCGAUUGAAUGAGCCGAUGUCGGAUUAGCUAGUUGGCGGGUGAAAGGCCCACCAGGGCGACGAUCCGUAGCUGGACUGGGAGGAUGAUCAGCCACACUGGAGCUGAGACACGGUCCAGAGUCCUACGGGAGGCAGCAGUGGGGAAUAUUGGGCAGCAGGCGCAAGCCUGAUCCAGCCAGACCGCGUGGGUGAAGAAGGCCUUCGGGUUGUGAAGCCCUUUUGUUGGGAAAGAACAGCAGCAGGUUAAUACCCCGCUGUUCUGACGGUACCCAAAGAAUAAGCACCGGCUAACUUCGUG
rnacentral:rRNA from 1 species